rnacentral:rRNA from 1 species
CUGAUGGGUGACUGCGGAGGAUCAUUAAUGAGUUUUGAAGUGGGUUUGAUGCUGGCCUUACCAGGCAUGUGCUCGCCCUACUCUCAUCCACUCACACCUGUGCACCUAAAAGCGUUAGAAGAUUCAUCCCCUUGACCUUCAGGGGUGCGAUCCGAGGAAACUUGGUAUCGUUGGGUUGAGUUCUCUGCGUUUUACUCUUCUAUAAACCCUUGUAUGUUAUAGAAUGUCUAAUGGCCUACGGGCUUUAAUGAAAUACAACUUUCAACAACGGAUCUCUUGGCUCUCGCAUCGAUGAAGAACGCAGCGAAAUGCGAUAAGUAAUGUGAAUUGCAGAAUUCAGUGAAUCAUCGAAUCUUUGAACGCACCUUGCGCUCUUGGGCUAUUCCUAAGAGCAUGCCUGUUUGAGUGUCUUGAACUCCUCAACCCCAGUCAGGUUUGAAAUCUGACUGGCGGCUGGAUUUGGAGGCUUGUGGGCCGUUUCAAUUCGGUCUGCUCCUCUUGAAUGCAUUAGCUUGGACUUGUUCCUAAGGCUUCAUGGCGUGAUAACUAUCUACGCUUUGGUCUGUCUGCGGAAUCACUAUGGGUCUAGCUUCUAAUCGUCCUUUGGACAACAUUUCAAACUUUGACCUCAAAUCAGGUAGGACUACCCGCUGAAUUUAAGCAUAUCAUAAAGGCGGGAGGAAAAAUUUUUUU